GCUGCAAACCGUUCUGUCGCUGCCGUUCAUCCGGCAGAGGAAAGUCCGGGCAACACAGGGCAUCCUGCUUCCUAACGGGAAGGGGUCGUACCAGCCGGCUACAGCAAGUGCCACAGAAAAUAAACCGCCCGUUUCAGGAUGGGUAAGGGUGAAAACGUGAGGUAAGAGCUCACGGCUUUUACGGGCGACCGUAAUUGCGGUAAACCUCAGGAGUUGAAAAACCAAAUAGGUCUCAAUUGAAAAGCGGCCCGCUUUAUGUGUUUCGGCACGGUUGAGAUGGGUAGGUUGAUAGAGCCGUGCAGCAAUGUACGGACCAGAUCAAUGACAGAAUAUCCGCAAGGAUACACAGAACCCGGCUUACAGGUUUGCUGCUGGU
rnacentral:RNase_P_RNA from 1 species